UUUUUUUUUUUUGAGAUAGGGUCUCCUUCUGUCACCCAGGCUGGAGUGCAGUGGUGUGAUCAUGGCUCACUGCAGCCUUGACCUCCAGGGCUCAAUAGAUCCACUAGCCUGAGCUCCUUGAGUAGCUGCACAACUGGGCCUAUAGGUGCCCGGCUAAUUUUAGGUUUUGUUUUGUUGUGCUGUGUUGUAGAGACUGGGUUUCGCCAUGUUGCCUAGACUGGUCUCAAACUUCUGGGUUCACGUACUUCACCCGCCUUGGCCUCCCAAAUUCUGGAAUGAUAGAUGUAAGCCACUGUGUCCAGCCAACAGUUUACAUGAGGGAAGGAUGGAGAGAGGGAGGAAGGAAAGAGGGAAGGAGGCAAGGAACGAAGGAAGAGAUGGGUUGGUCAAUGAAAGUUAUUACAAGAGACAAAGAAGGACAUUAUGUAUUGAUACAUAAGUUACUUCAUCAGGAAGAUUUAACAGUUAGUACAUGUGCAUCUAACUAUAGAGCCCCCAAGUACAGGAAGUCAAGACUUAUGUAACUGAAGAAACAGAAAGCUUCGCAGUAAUAGCUGCAAUACUAUAUGGUCAAUACUAGCUAGAACAAUGAAACAAAAGAUCAAUAAAGAAGUAGAGGACUUGAAAAACUGUAAAUCAGCUAGACCUGACAACAUUUACAACAGAGUCACAGAAUACAGAUUCUUCUCAAGCACAAAUGGAACGUUCUCUGGACUAUACCAUGUAUUAGGUCAUGAAACAAAUCUCACUAAUUUAAAAGCACUAAAAUCAAAGUAUCUUCUCUGCAAUAGAGUGAAGGUAGAAAUCAGUAACAAAGGAAAUCUGAAUUCAGGAAUACAUAAAAAUUAAACACACUCCUAACAAUCAAUGAAUCAAAGCAGAAAUUACAAGUGAUGUUUGAAAAUUCUGUGAGAUAAAUGAAAAUGAAAACAAAACUUACCAAACUUGUAGGAAGCUGUGAGGCCAGUGCUCAGAGGAAAAUGUAGAGCGGGGAGGCCACGGUGGGAAGAUGGCCUGAGGCCAGGAGCUUAAACCAGCCUGGGCGACAAAAUGAGACCCCAUUUGCACAAAUAAAAAUAAAAACAAACAGGUGGGUUGCAUGUACCUGUGGUCCCAACAACUUGCAGAGCUGAGGUGGGAGGGUCCUUGAGUCCAGCAGAUCAAGGCUGCAGUGAGCUGUGGUCGUGUCACUGCACUCCAGCCUGAAUGCGAGACCCUGUCAAAGGGGAAGGGGAAGGGGAAGGGGAAGGAGACAACCUUUGAACUGCAGCCCUGAGGUUGGACCUGGGGACAACUGGCCUCACAGGGAAGAGAAGUGCUAGAUGGAAACAGACUUGCAGAAAAGGGAGAAAGGAGAUGAAGGCAAACAGGGAGAAAUGACUAGGACUCACUAGGAAGGACUAUGUGUGGAGCAAAAAUGAUGUAAUGGGAUAAUAAAGGGACAGUUUCUAUCUCCUACAAAGCAGCAGUGCCCCCUGAGAGCUCCGGCGAGAGGACAGGCUGUGGGUUCCUGGGAUUUCAGACAUUUGGAGCAGGAAUGCAGGGAUGUAAGAUGAUGUGUUUUCCAGUCCCCUGGCCAGCAAUGAUGCGUCUCAGUUAUGAAUGUCCCCCAUGGAAAGUCCUAGAGUCUUCCUGAGUUAACUUAUCCUCUCAGUUCCUCCUCCCUAGAUCUCUUUAGAAUUAUUUCCUGGGUUAGGGUUUCCUGAGAGUGGAGGAGAAGGAACUAUGAACGCCCCCUCCUUCCUCCCUCACAUGGUUGAAAGUCUGGCCAAGGCCAAUUCAUUAAGGGACGGGGGACCUUUCCUAUCUCCUCAGGGGCAGCCUCCUGACUUGGUCUGACCCCCAGGUUUAACCGGAACACACUAGAACUUUCCACACCAUCUGCACAUGGAAAAUGUGUCUGUUAAUUGACUUAUGAAGCCACCUAGAAAGUAUAAACAAGCAAUGCACAUAUACAUUCUAUAACCUAAUGUGUUUGUUUAAUAUUAAGAUAUAUUUGUUAGAGGCAACUAGGUGGAAAGGUAAACUUUUCCAACACUUAGACCUUAAGUCAGCAGCUUAUGCAGCAGUGAUUGCUCGGGUGACUCUGAGUAACCUGUUCUACCUCUAAAGCCGACGUUUCUGGUUAGGCUAAAUGGAGGAAAUAAAUAUUCUCCAAACAUUUCAUUAAGAUUCACUGGGAAACAGUACCCUGAGUGCUUAGAGUUGCACUCUUCACACAGAAGACAGAGUAAGGGUUAGGGAACCUUCUCAGGGGAUGAAUACACACAAAUUUUCACCACAGCAAUCAGGUGUUUAUAUUAGGAAUCUGAUUCCAGCCUCUCGAGAAGCUGGACAAUCCAAAAUCAAUCUCAUUAAACUAUUUCAUCUACCCAUAGGAGGAGCUCCAGUUCGUAUAAAACUGCCAGCCCUUCCUUCUCUCCUCCUCCUCACCCUCCACACACAGGACAGGGCUGGGCACACAGAGGAAGGACACUGAGGACCUGGGUGGUUGGGAGACACUGGCUUUCCUCUCUUCUCACCCAUGGUGGGCUCCGUUUAUCCUCAUCUUUUCUUCCCCAGUUAGGGUUCCCUGGGAGCCUGUGAGUUGUCUGGGGACUUCAUCAACAUCUGCACAAAUGCCCCAGACUCUGCUCACCACUCUUUCAAAGGGGCUCCUCUCUCUGAACCGGCAAUGUCUGUGUGAUUGGGAGGUGUCACCUCCAGGUCCUGAAACCACAGCACCCGGAGGGUCUCUGGCCCCAGUCUGAGGUUCCUCUAUGAGUUUUGGAGAUGAACGAAGCCUCUGCUUUAACAGGAAUAGAUCCUGUUUAUCAAAGCAUGUAAAGGCCAGACAUUCUAUGUUAGGGGUCCUGAAGAGUUGUUUCAGAGUGGAUGAACGACUGUCACCUCCUCAGUGGCCCUGCCACUCUAACAGAUGGGUAGUCACUUGUCAUGUCUUGUUCACUUGGACUUCAACAAUGACUAAAAAUACAAAAAAUUAGCUGGGCAUAGUGGUGGGCGCCUGUAAUCCCAGCUACUUAGGAGGCUGAGGCAGGAGAAUGGCAUGAACCCGGAAGGCAGAGCUUGCAGUGAGCCGAGAUCACACCACUGCACUCCAGCCUGGGUGACAGAGCAAGACUCUGUCUCAAAAAAAUAAAAAAAUAAAACAUUCUAUUUGAUUUGAAAUGGAAAUAACAAAAAGUACAAUUACUAUAAUUUCAACUACUAAUUAAGCAAACACAGAAGAAAUCUAUGACAUGAAAAGAAUCAUCUACAUACAGUAUCACCUUCCUCCUGAUUUUAAUGUGAACCACCAACUGUUUUAAGACGAGCUCUAAUUUAACUGAACAAGAGAUCACUGGCAAGGUUAUUGAAUUACCAAUAUUUUCCACUGUGAUUCAUUUUAAUGUAUAAUUGAUUUUACCAUGAAUGUAAAAAGUGUUUUUCUCCUUUAUAUAUUUUAAUAAUAAAUUGAAUUUUUAAGAAAUGCCGCCAGGCGCGGUGGCUCACGCCUGCAAUCCCAGCACUUUGGGAGGCCAAGGCAGGCAGAUCAGCUGAGGUCAAGAGUUCAAGAUCAGCCUGGCCAACAUGGUGAAACCUCAUCUCUACUAAAAAUACAAAAAAAAUUAGCCAGGUGUGGUGGCACACACCUGUGGUCCCAGCUACUCAGGGAGGUUGAGGCAGGAGAAUCACUUGAACACAGGAGGCAGAGGUUCCAGUGAUUACACCACUGCACUCCAACCUGGGUGACAGCGGGAGACUCCGCCUCAAAAAAAAAGCAUCAUCCUGCUUUGAUAAGAGAUGGAAGUCUGUUCUUAAGGAUUUCUAAGAGUGAGAAUCUUAUUGUCUUAUGUAAAACUCCACUGGGACAAGCAUCAGAAUCAAGGAGUGACCUUCUCAAACCCCUGGACUCUUUUUGCCUAUGUGAACUAAAGGAUGAUAAGCAGCUGUCAUUUUAACCCCCACAGUGACAGUUUCCUCACAACUGAAUUCUAAUCUUGAGCACUGCACUUCCCAGAAUGUUCUGGACAAGGCCUGGUACCGUCCCCGCUGCAGUCCCUGGAGGGAGAGCAGGGUGUCUCCUUGGGGCUGACGUGGAGUCUCUGGGGCACAAGGGAGCUCCUGCGGGGAGGAUGACAGAUCUGUUCACUUGCGGACUGGACACAAUUCCUUCCUGUAGGCUGCCCUCUGGAUGUGAAUUCUAGAUCCACAGGUAAUUAACAGCAGACAUUCCUCUAAGAUUAUGUCUGUCUGUAGUUGUGUUGGUUUGAAAAGUGUUUUGGUCAUUUGAGUCUUCAUACUUGGCAAACAAACAAAAAUAAACUGGAAAAAAAUUCUGAAUUUGUAAAGCGGUAUCAGUGGUGCAGAUACAUUCUAACAUCAACAAAGUAAGAGACGGGCCAGCAUCUGGGGGGCCAGCAGGUUUUGUCCUACUUCCCCGCCUGCCUGUGUCGCUGUGAGAAGCAUCGCUGGUCCAGGCAUACAGUAAUAGCCUUGUCCUCAAGCUGGGGCCCAGAGAUGUGAAGAAUCCCUGCGUUUUCAGGGGCAUCUUUGGUUCCAAAGAAACAGCUGGGGACGCUGGAGCCUUUGUGUUUAUUUGAAUGUGAGAGGUAGCUCAGGAGAUGCUGGGGAGGGCUCCCUGGCUUCUGCCAUCUCCAGCGUGUCCCACGGUCACCAACACUGAAGCCACUGCUCAGGGUGCAGGGGAGUCUGGCAGAUGCUCCCGGGGUUGCAGAGAGGGAGGGCAGCCGAGUCAGCACAGGCUGGAGAGGGAACCUGCAGACACAGACAGUCGCUGGGCUGGGUCAAGGACCAGGGUAAAGAUUCUCAGGGCCAGAUCCAGAAGAGAUGAAAACAGACUGGGGGCUGCCCUGGGUCUCUGAGGCCUGUCCCUACCUGUGCAGAGAGAAAGGGACAUGAGGAGGAGAGGAAUCCAGGCCGUGGUGGACACAGCCCCUGACGCUCACAAUGGGGCUGGGCUGUCCCAGGCUUGUCUAAUUUCCCUCCUGCCCCCAGGGAAAAGAAGGGGCUGUUCAUGCAAAUUCACUCUCCCCCUCCUGGAUCCCUCAGACCCUGCUUGUUCAGUGAUUCAGGAGCCUGAGAGGGGACCUCAGGACAGAGGAGGCUGAGGGAGGGGCUGCUCUGAGUGCAGGCCCAGCAGCAUUGUGCAGGGAGCAGCUGUUGGGAACACACACAGGACCCUGCCAGGCCUUGAGAGCACAAGGACAUUGGGUCACAUUCUGAGCACAGGGGAUAACUCUGACUCUGCCAGCUGGAAGCCAGUGGGGCUCACCCAGUUGUGAGCAAUCCCCAGACAGGGCCUGGGACAGGGCACGGCACUCCUUACUGGUCACAGGUCCAACUUCAGUGUACUCAGGGUCCGGGUACUUAAUGCCCCAGGACUUGGCACCAUCAUUCAACACACAGUCCCCCAGGUCUCUGUGUGAGCAGUAUGCUCAGGUUUCACUUCACAAACAUGGAUGCACUCUCUGUGAUUUCAGAGGCUUGCAACACAGAGGGAGAACUUCUCACUCCAUAGACAAUCCUGUGAAUAUUAGGGGCUCAACAAAACACAAAACAUUGGGGCUCUCUGGCCUGGUGAGGUGGCUCCCAACACUUUGGGAGGCCAAAGUGGGUGGAUCACCUGAGGUCAGGAGUUCGAGACCACCCUGACAUACAUGGGGAAACCCAUCUCUACUAAAUACAAAAAAAAUAAUAAUAAUAAAUUAGCCGGGCAUGGUGACGGAUGCCUAUAAUCCCAGCUACUAGGGAGGCUGAGGCAGGAGAAUGGUUGAACCCAGGAGCUGGAGGUUACAGUGAGCUGAGACUAUGUCAUUGUACUCCAGCCUGGGCAACGAGAGCAAAACUCCAUCUGAAAACAAACAAACAAAUAAAUAUAUUAAAAAAAAAAAAAAAAAAAAA
ensembl:lncRNA